rnacentral:rRNA from 1 species
UCCCAGACUCCUACGGGAGGCAGCAGUGGGGAAUAUUGCGCAAUGGGCGAAAGCCUGACGCAGCGACGCCGCGUGAGGGAUGAAGGUCUUCGGAUCGUAAACCUCUGUCAGCAGGGAAGAACGGUCACUGUGCUAAUCAGCAGUGAAUUGACGGUACCUGCAAAGGAAGCACCGGCUAACUACGUGCCAGCAGCCGCGGUAAUACGUAGGGGGCAAGCGUUAUCCGGAUUCACUGGGUGUAAAGGGAGCGUAGACGGCCAUGCAAGCCUGGAGUGAAAGCCCGGGGCCCAACCCCGGGACUGCUCUGGGAACUGUGCGGCUGGAGUGCGGGAGGGGCAGGCGGAAUUCCUGGUGUAGCGGUGAAAUGCGUAGAUAUCAGGAGGAACACCGGCGGCGAAGGCGGCCUGCUGGACCGCGACUGACGUUGAGGCUCGAAAGCGUGGGGAGCAAACAGGAUUAGAUACCCGAGUACA